UACGAAGGGGGCUAGCGUUGCUCGGAAUCACUGGGCGUAAAGCGCACGUAGGCGGAUAUUUAAGUCGGUGGUGAAAUCCUGGAGCUCAACUCCAGAACUGCCUUUGAUACUGAAGAUCUUGAGUUCGGGAGAGGUGAGUGGAACUGCGAGUGUAGAGGUGAAAUUCGUAGAUAUUCGCAAGAACACCAGUGGCGAAGGCGGCUCACUGGCCCGAUACUGACGCUGAGGCACGAAAGCGUGGGGAGCAAACAGG
rnacentral:rRNA from 1 species